AAGACCAAAGCAAAGGUUGGAGCUCCUCGUCCUGGAGUUUAAAAAGAAGAGGACAACGAAGAGGAGAGAGGAGAGGGGGGUGGAAAGCGGAGGAGAAAAGGAUCCCUGAGGCUCGGGCCGGGCUCGGCUACCUGAAGGAGCUUUUGUCUGACCCAGGCGCGCCGGGAGCGCAUUCUUUCACAUGACGAACCGCAGGGGAAGACAUUCAUUCACUCCCUUUUUUUUGGUGACGUAGCCAGGGCAUUCAUGUGUUUUUAACCUUGAAUAAUUUUUGUCUCUAAGCGCCAAACAAGUUUUAUCCUGUCCACAGGUCAGUUUUGUUACAGAGGCCAAUUAGCAGUGCUACCUUCGCCUGCGGCAAAAAGCCAAGUAAUGGUGGGGCAAGCCCUCCGGAGAGGUGAUGAAUAACUCCGGAGAGCUGUAAUUUGAAAGGGGGGCCUUUGAAGCAUUUACCUUACAUGGGACGCUAUUGUCACUGCAGGGUGUUUGAUCUUAAAAUAAUUUACUUAAUGAUCUCACCAUGGGAGCAAUUGGCAGAGCAAGAUUAGGCUGUAAGGCCUAAUGGACAUGGGAAAAGUUAAAAUUGCUCAGAGAAAGAACCUCCCAGUCUACCAGGGACCUGGGUGUCAAGAAGCACUUGACCGCUACAGACAGCAGAUGCGGAACCUUCUCUCGAGCCCAUACAGCACGGAGGCGACUGCCCCACCAGUUCCAGCGUUCCUGCUAUAGGAUGAGUCAGAAGAGAGGGGUGAAAAAGAACAAGGGGCAACAUCUGUACUGGCCCGUGCAAGGGGCAUUUUUCUCUUAUUCUAAGUUCAGCUGCAGGAGAGGAGAGGAGCUGGGGUAAGUGAGACAGUUUUGUUUCUCGGGGCUCUGCUUUCUGACCACCUUAGACCAUGCCCCUCUGGAGCUGUGCCCAGUCCUUUUUCCCUAUCCCACACUGGUUCUUGCCAUAGAUCCUUGUGUCCUAACCCCCAGCCCUUGGUUCUCUGCUUCACACUUCUACGUAAU